GCGUCGACAGUGUAACGGUGAACAUACGCUCCCGGAAAGAGUGAGAUCUAGGUUCAAAUCCCGGCUGACGCA